AGAGUUUGAUCCUGGCUCAGGAUGAACGCUAGCGGCAGGCUUAACACAUGCAAGUCGAGGGGCAGCGGGGAGGAAGCUUGCUUUCUCCGCCGGCGACCGGCGCACGGGUGAGUAACACGUAUGCAACCUGCCCCUGUCAGGGGGACAACCCGCCGAAAGGCGGGCUAAACCCGCGUACAUGCCACCGGGGCAUCCCGGAGGCAGGAAAGGCUUCGGCCGGACAGGGAUGGGCAUGCGGCGCAUUAGGCAGUAGGCGGGGUAACGGCCCACCUAACCGACGAUGCGUAGGGGUUCUGAGAGGAAGGUCCCCCACACUGGUACUGAGACACGGACCAGACUCCUACGGGAGGCAGCAGUGAGGAAUAUUGGUCAAUGGUCGGGAGACUGAACCAGCCAAGCCGCGUGAGGGAGGAAGGUACAGAGUAUCGUAAACCUCUUUUGUCAGGGAACAAAGACCGGGACGCGUCCCCGGAUGAGUGUACCUGAAGAAAAAGCAUCGGCUAACUCCGUGCCAGCAGCCGCGGUAAUACGGAGGAUGCGAGCGUUAUCCGGAUUUAUUGGGUUUAAAGGGUGCGCAGGCGGUCUGUUAAGUCAGCGGUCAAAGCCCGGGGCUCAACCCCGGCCCGCCGUUGAAACUGGCAGUCUCGAGUUGGAGAGAAGUAUGCGGAAUGCGCGGUGUAGCGGUGAAAUGCAUAGAUAUCGCGCAGAACUCCGAUUGCGAAGGCAGCAUGCCGGCUCCACACUGACGCUGAGGCACGAAAGCGUGGGUAUCGAACAGGAUUAGAUACCCUGGUAGUCCACGCAGUAAACGAUGAAUGCUGGCUGUCCGGGGGGACUGACCCCUGGGUGGCGAAGCGAAAGCGAUAAGCAUUCCACCUGGGGAGUACGCCGGCAACGGUGAAACUCAAAGGAAUUGACGGGGGCCCGCACAAGCGGAGGAACAUGUGGUUUAAUUCGAUGAUACGCGAGGAACCUUACCCGGGCUCAAACGGGGAGUGCCGCAGGCAGAGACGCCUGUUUCCCACGGGACACUCCCCGAGGUGCUGCAUGGUUGUCGUCAGCUCGUGCCGUGAGGUGUCGGCUUAAGUGCCAUAACGAGCGCAACCCCCGCGUGCAGUUGCUAACAGAUAACGCUGAGGACUCUGCACGGACUGCCGGCGCAAGCCGCGAGGAAGGCGGGGAUGACGUCAAAUCAGCACGGCCCUUACGUCCGGGGCGACACACGUGUUACAAUGGGUGGUACAGCGGGAAGCCAGGCGGCGACGCCGAGCGGAACCCGAAAUCCACUCUCAGUUCGGAUCGGAGUCUGCAACCCGACUCCGUGAAGCUGGAUUCGCUAGUAAUCGCGCAUCAGCCAUGGCGCGGUGAAUACGUUCCCGGGCCUUGCACUCACCGCCCGUCA
rnacentral:rRNA from 1 species